GACGAACGCUGGCGGCGUGCCUAAUACAUGCAAGUAGAACGCUGAAGGAGGAGCUUGCUCUUCUGGAUGAGUUGCGAACGGGUGAGUAACGCGUAGGUAACCUGCCUGGUAGCGGGGGAUAACUAUUGGAAACGAUAGCUAAUACCGCAUAAGAGUAGAUGUUGCAUGACAUUUGCUUAAAAGGUGCAAUUGCAUCACUACCAGAUGGACCUGCGUUGUAUUAGCUAGUUGGUGGGGUAACGGCUCACCAAGGCGACGAUACAUAGCCGACCUGGGAGGGGGAUCGGCCACACUGGGACUGAGACACGGCCCAGACUCCUACGGGAGGCAGCAGUAGGGAAUCUUCGGCAAUGGACGGAAGUCUGACCGAGCAACGCCGCGUGAGUGAAGAAGGUUUUCGGAUCGUAAAGCUCUGUUGUAAGAGAAGAACGAGUGUGAGAGUGGAAAGUUCACACUGUGACGGUAUCUUACCAGAAAGGGACGGCUAACUACGUG
rnacentral:rRNA from 1 species